rnacentral:rRNA from 1 species
ACGGGAGGCAGCAGUGGGGAAUAUUGCACAAUGGGCGAAAGCCUGAUGCAGCGACGCCGCGUGAAUGAAGAAGUAUUUCGGUAUGUAAAGUUCUAUCAGCAGGGAAGAUAAUGACGGUACCUGACUAAGAAGCACCGGCUAAAUACGUGCCAGCAGCCGCGGUAAUACGUAUGGUGCAAGCGUUAUCCGGAUUUACUGGGUGUAAAGGGAGCGCAGGCGGCCUAGCAAGUCUGAAGUGAAAUCCCGGGGCUCAACCCCGGAACUGCUUUGGAAACUGUUAGGCUAGAGUGUCGGAGGGGUAAGCGGAAUUCCUAGUGUAGCGGUGAAAUGCGUAGAUAUUAGGAGGAACACCAGUGGCGAAGGCGGCUUACCGGACGAUAACUGACGCUGAGGCUCGAAAGCGUGGGGAGCAAACAGGAUUAGAUACCCUGGUA